GUCCUCUCUAUUCCUCUUUUUCUCCUCGAGGACCAACAAACAAAGUAUCUUUUGAAGUAUAGCAUUUGUAAAGUUUUUAAGGGAAUAACCUUCACUUUAGCGAGCUUCCAGAGAAACUACAUUCAACAGGAGAAACGAAAUUUUGAAUAGAAGGAUUAGUGCCCGUAGCAGUCCUGGAGUUAGGUUAUGAUGGUCGUGAUGAGCUCUACUAGAAAAAAAUCUCUUCUAUGAAUAGAGGAAGUGCUAUCUAAGGGGCUUUCUAAGCCCAGCCCUUGAAUUCCGUUCCGUAGUUCAAUCCGGAACUCCAGAUGUGUAAGUAGCGGCCAAGCGGCUCUGUCCUUUUCAAAGAGGUUAUCCUUCUCUGUCCCCGCUUUAUAGUGUUAUAGGAUAGCUCCCCAC
rnacentral:lncRNA from 1 species